rnacentral:misc_RNA from 1 species
GUGGCAUUGUUACCAACCUACAAGAACAAGGAAUGCAUUGAGUGAUAUUACGUCUUUGAAAGUUGGUGAAGUGUGUGGAGAAGAUGAAGUUGGCAAAUGAAGAAUGUGUUUCUAUACAUACAAAGUCUACAAUGGCGGGCUGUCUUUUUCUCUGCUGAUUACUAUUUCCCAGAUCUCAUGUGGUCUUUAGGCGCAGCAUCCUCAUCCAUUUUGUAGACACGUAUGUGCUUGAAGACGCAUUAAAUGACAACUUAUCUUCACACGUUAAUCACUAAUUAAGUGGUGUUGAUUAUUGUUUAAUAUAAUAAUAAUAUGUUUUGUCUUUCAU